rnacentral:ncRNA from 18 species
GAUGGGGCACGCGACUGGCGCUUGACGUGCCGCCGGCACGUCAAAAGGUGGGGCACCACCGGGGAGCGAAUCCGCGGAGGCCGUGCGCCUGGGUCGCCGCG